rnacentral:tRNA from 1 species
GGGCCUGUGGCUCGGGGGUCAGAGCAAGCGGUUCAUAACCGUCCGGGCGCUGGUUCGAAUCCAGCUGGGCCCACCA